ACUUAGAAACACUGAAGUCCCAAGGACUUCAUAGUGAAGAUGUCCUUGGAAUUGGGCCUUUCAAAAUCUUUCUGGGUAGUUUGGAGGCCCUUUUAGGCCCAUUUGAACUUCCAGAUGAGGUAAUGGAUGCCUUAUUUUACGUCAUGACCAGGGUAACUCAUACCUUUUUACAAAACUCACUCACUCACUCACUCACUCACAUACAUACAUACAAUUCAAAUAUAGAUUUAACAUGAUUUAAUGACUUAAACCAUUUCUCUCCCUCGCUUAGAGCCAGCCUGGGACAGAGGCAAUUAAUAGUCAGGCUAUGCGCCUGAUUUUGGAGGGCAGCUCCAGGGCCAGGAGUACUUAUUUCUUUAAAAAAAACAUUCUUAAAGGAGCCAGUGCCAUCUUCGGGCCCUACUUGCUGGGAGAGUGCCACUGGACCCUCUUUCAUUGCAACUUGAAAGAGGGAACUAUUACCUACAUCGACUCCUUGGGGGAGCAGCCACAGCAUUGCUUCCA